CCGCAUAAUCUAUUCGUAGUAAAGUGGGGGACUUUCGAGCCUCACGCUAUCAGAUGAGCCUGCGUAAGAUUAGCUUGUUGGUGGGGUAAAAGCCCACCAAGGCGACGAUCUUUAGCUGGUCUGAGAGGAUGAUCAGCCACAUCGGGACUGAGACACGGCCCGAACUCCUACGGGAGGCAGCAGUGGGGAAUAUUGGACAAUGGGGGCAACCCUGAUCCAGCAAUACCGCGUGUGUGAAGAAGGCCUGAGGGUUGUAAAGCACUUUCAAUUGUGAAGAAAAGUUAGCGGUUAAUAACCGUAGC
rnacentral:rRNA from 1 species